UACGGAGGGUCCAAGCGUUGUCCGGAAUCACUGGGUGUAAAGGGUGCGCAGGCGGGCUUGUAAGUCAGAGGUGAAAUCCCCCGGCCUAACCGGGGAACUGCCUUUGAUACUGCAAGUCUUGAGUCUUGGAGAGGUUGCCAGAAUUCGUGGUGUAGCGGUGAAAUGCGUAGAUAUCACGAGGAAUACCUGAUGCGUAGGCGGGCAACUGGACAAGUACUGACGCUGAGGCACGAAAGCGUGGGGAGCGAACAGGAUUAGAAACCCUGGUAGUCC
rnacentral:rRNA from 1 species